AUGGAGGCGGCCGCCGAGCUGGCGCAGCGCCUGCGGGCCGCGGCCAAUGACCGGCUGGCGGGGCAGGAGCCGCUCCUCCUCGUCGCCGCGCCGCUGCUCGCGCUCCUCGCCGCGCGCGCCGUCCACGCCGCCGCCGCCGACGUCGCCGACCGCGGCCUCCGCACCGUCCUCAUCACCCUCGCCAUGGCCACCGUCAAGUUGGUGCCGGGGGUCAGCGGGUACAUCGCCGCCGAGAAGAGCAAGGUUGUUGAGCAGUUGCAGUCAGGCAGUGCAUCCGCCAAGAAGAACCUGCGAACCGAGCUGCCCGCCGUCGGGGAUCCCGACGGAGUCAUAGGCGAGCUCCAGGCGCUCAAAGACAAGGAUGUGAGAUGGCAGGGCAAAUGCUCCGGCACUGUUUAUAUCGCUGGGAGCGAGUCUGAAGGCCAUUUUUCACUUAUAAACAAGGCCUACUCUAUGUUUUCACACACAAAUCCACUGCAUCAGGAUGUAUUCAAGAGUGUGGCACAGUUAGAGGCUGAAGUAGUUGCAAUGACAGCUGCUUUGCUUGGCAGCAAAGAAAAAGCGUCUGGUGGACAAAUUUGUGGCAAUAUGACGUCAGGCGGAACUGAAAGCAUAUUGUUGGCCGUCAAAACAUCACGCGAUUAUAUGCAGUCAAAGAAGGGAAUCACAAAGCCUGAAAUGAUUAUUGCUGAAUCAGCUCAUUCUGCCUAUGACAAAGCUGCCCAAUAUUUCAAUAUUAAAGUGCGGCGUGUACCUGUGAAUAAAGAAUUUCUUGCAGAUGUAAAAGGAUUCAAACGGUGCAUAAAUGGAAACACCAUAAUGAUGGUUGGAUCUGCACCAGGAUUUCCCCACGGUUUAAUUGACCCCAUCGAGGAACUUGGGGAGUUGGCUUCACAAUAUGGCAUUUGCUUGCAUGUUGAUCUAUGCCUUGGUGGCUUUGUAUUGCCUUUCGCCCAUAAGCUUGGGUAUCCAAUUCCUCCUUUUGAUUUUUCUGUCAAAGGUGUUACGUCGAUCUCAACAGAUGUUCAUAAGUAUGGGCUAGCCCCAAAAGGCACCAGUACUGUCCUAUACAGGAAUCAUGAAAUUAGAAAGCACCAAUUUGUUGCUGUGACUGAAUGGACUGGUGGGCUCUAUAUUUCCCCUACUAUGGCUGGAAGCAGGCCAGGUGGACUAGUCGCAGGAGCUUGGGCUGCGAUGAUGUCUCUUGGAUUGAAUGGUUAUUUGGAAAGUACUGGGAAAAUCAUGGAAGUCUCAAAGAAGAUACAAAAAGGAAUUGAUGACAUCUCAGGUUUAUUUGUGAUUGGGAAGCCAGACAUGACCGUCGUGGCCUUUGGGUCGGACGCAGUCGACAUAUUUGAGGUGAAUGACAUAAUGUCAUCGAAAGGAUGGCACCUCAAUGCUCUUCAGAGACCCAACAGUCUGCACAUCUGCGUGACGCUUCAACACACGGCUAUCUAUGAGGAAUUCCUCAAGGACCUCGAGGAUUCCGUGAACACAGUGAAAGCGAAUCCAGGGCCUAUCAGUGGGGGGAUGGCUCCCAUCUAUGGCGCCGCUGGGAAGAUGCCGGACAGAGGCACGGUCAAGGAGUUGCUUGUGGAGUUCAUGGACAGCUCUUGCUAA
rnacentral:rRNA from 1 species